rnacentral:rRNA from 1 species
CGGGUGAGUAACACGUGGGUAACCUACCUAUAAGACUGGGAUAACUUCGGGAAACCGGAGCUAAUACCGGAUAAUAUUUUGAACCGCAUGGUUCAAAAGUGAAAGACGGUCUUGCUGUCACUUAUAGAUGGAUCCGCGCUGCAUUAGCUAGUUGGUAAGGUAACGGCUUACCAAGGCAACGAUGCAUAGCCGACCUGAGAGGGUGAUCGGCCACACUGGAACUGAGACACGGUCCAG